GCGAGCAGAGUUACUAGAGUCCCGAGGGCUCUCGCUAGUUUGGGAGACCUCUUCCUCCACAGGUGAAGCCAGUUUCACUCGACUAAAGAGAGAGAGUCUGCUCACAAAGGCACUUGGGAUCCCAGAAGAUGGCUCUUUCCCACUGGCAAGUGACGGCGAACUUGAUCUUCGCACAGACAAUCUCUGGAAGAGGUUUUUAAUCUCUUCCAAGGACUUGAUAGGCAUUCCACUCAGUGAUGAGAGUCCAAUCUAGGGAAGACGAUUUGGGAGGGUCUCCAUCAUAUAGUCAAAAGCAGUUCAUAACCAUGUUGAAGUCAAACCAGGAAAAAAGUAGGUAAGAAUUACCCCUCCUUAAAUAACUAGCAGCCUGCUUCUUCAUACUUAAAACUGCCCCAGAAAAGGGGUGCCUGGGUGGCGCAGUUGGUUAAGUGUCCGACUCUUGAUUUCAGCCCAGGUCAUGAUCUCAAGGUUUGUGAGGUUGAGCCCCGCACAGAGCCUGCUUGGGAUUCUCUCUCUCCCUUUGUCUGCCCCUUCCCUCCUCAUGUUCUCUCUCUCUCUCUCUCUCUCUCUCUCAAAAUAAAUAAACAUUAAAAAAAAAACUGUCCCAGAAAACAUUAACAAAAAUUAAAAUGGCCAUAAUGAAAAAGAUGUGCUAACGUUGAUGGCACUAUAAAUUUCUACAACCAUUUAGAAAGAAAUUUGGCAAAUAAUAGCAAAAGAUAUAAAAUGCCAAUAUUGCCAGCAGUGGGCAUAUUAAAGCAAUUUUUCCUAACGAAUAACUUAAAAUAUAGGUGAUCCAUAAUCUUUAUUAUGUACAUCCUAGCAAUAGCAAUUUAAAAAUCAUAAGCGAAUUAAGUAUUCAAAAAUAGCAAAGCAGAAAAAUCUUCCUGAAAUGUUAUACAGUCCUUACAAAAUAAAGUUUAUAAAGCCUAUGGGGUAAAAUUGGUAAAGCUUUAAAAUAUAAAAUUCAUGUGAACAACAUAAAAAUAAAAAUUGUAUGAACAUAAGAACAAAUGAGUGAUAAUAUGCAUUUAAAACAUUGAAAGAAAGCUAAAAGAUUAACAAAAUGGGUUGUUUUCCUUUUUUACUUUUCAGAUUCUAUAAGAUUGUUACCAUGACUUUUCCUGUUGUUUUAAAAAGGCCAGUGAACAAAGUCACUUAAAGUGUUAUCAGCAGAAAUUAUUAGCUUAUUAGCAGAAAUGCACAGUGAAUGUGAAUUUCUAUUACAUAUUUUUCUAAUUUGUAGCCCUAUUUUCUUUUCUAGCUCUCAACUUUUAUCAGUGAUUAAACUUAGAGUUUAAUAUUAAUUAUGAAGGCCAAUUAAAUCCUAAAAUUUUCUCAUUCUGAAAAGCCCAAAAUAUGGAAGUGUUUUCCUAAACAUUA
rnacentral:lncRNA from 1 species